UCUUAUGGAUGAGCAAAGAAAAUGGUUUCUUAAGACUGAAUCUCCUCCUGGUGAAGAUGCUGUGAA
rnacentral:pre_miRNA from 1 species